rnacentral:rRNA from 1 species
UACGUAGGGUGCGAGCGUUGUCCGGAAUUAUUGGGCGUAAAGGGCUCGUAGGCGGUCUGUUGCGUCGGGAGUGAAAACUCAGGGCUUAACCCUGAGCCUGCUUCCGAUACGGGCAGACUAGAGGUAUGCAGGGGAGACUGGAAUUCCUGGUGUAGCGGUGAAAUGCGCAGAUAUCAGGAGGAACACCGGUGGCGAAGGCGGGUCUCUGGGCAACAACUGACGCUGAGGAGCGAAAGCGUGGGGAGCGAACAGG